rnacentral:rRNA from 1 species
AGCGAACGCUGGCGGCGUGCCUAGCACAUGCAAGUCGAACGUGAAAAGGGAAACCUGAGUAAAGUGGCGUACGGGUGAGUAACGCGUAGGUAAUCUACCCCAGAAUCUGGAAUAACCUGCCGAAAGGCGGGCUAAUACUGGAUAGAGCGAGGGAACUCGUAAGAGAGUUUUUCGGGAAAGGGAGCCCGCAAGGGCCUUCGUUCUGGGAUGAGCCUGCGUCUCAUUAGCUAGUUGGUAAGGUAACGGCUUACCAAGGCGAUGAUGAGUAGCUGGUCUGAGAGGAUGAUCAGCCACACUGGAACUGGAACACGGUCCAGACUCCUACGGGAGGCAGCAGUGGGGAAUCUUGCGCAAUGGACGAAAGUCUGACGCAGCCACGCCGCGUGAGUGAAGAAGGCCUUCGGGUUGUAAAGCUCUGUCGGAUGGGACGAACAUCUUCAUAGUGAAUAGCUAUGAGGACUGACGGUACCAUCAAAGGAAGCACCGGCUAACUCCGUG